rnacentral:rRNA from 1 species
AUGGAGAGAAUUUUUAUUGGUGAUAUGUGUGACGGUGCUGCUGAUCUAGUUCAGAGCUUGGUUCGUCUGUGGAACAACAUGAAGCGUUUCAAAACUAUGCAAGACUCUCGCUGCAAGCCAUAUGAAGAAAGUGCAAAUGUUAUUAUCAGGCAGAUUGAGCAGGAUGAGGCUGCUGCCACCGACAGCAGGGCUGGUGAUGGUACCGAGGCUAAUGUUUCUAAUCACGAAACGAAUGAUGUUGGCUUGGAGCGCCCUGUUGUUGAUAUUGAGCAGGAUGAGGCUGCUGCCACCGACAGCAGGGUUGAUGAUGGUACUCAGGCUAAUGUUUCUGAUCACCAUACGAACGAUGUUGGCUUGGAGCACCCUGUUGUUGAUGAGGCCAGUCAUAAUGUUGAGGCUGUCGUUGACUGUGGAGUUAAUGAUCCAUCUACUGAUAAGUGCAAGGGUCUUGUUGUUGGCGACGAGCCUUGUUCGCCCAUUGGUGAUGUUCCUUUGAAUGUUAGCAGCAGCAAGAUCGAUGAUGUUGCUGUGAAUGCUUCUAAGAUGACUGAUGUUGAGCGUGAGGCUGUCAUUAGUGGUGGAGAUGAUGCUCGUGGUGUUCCAUUGAGUAGUGGGCGCGAUGUUGGUAUCGAAGUUGCUGAUGAAGAUGUUGGUGCCGCCAGCAUACUUGAUGCCAAAUCGUCUGGUGUUGGUAUUGCUGGGAAUGAAAAUGUUUUUGAUUGUGAAGAUUUGCCGCCGGAGAAUUUCCCGCCUGGAGGUCCUGAUUACGGUGAUGCAUUGCAAGAUGCCUCUAGCGUGGAGGAGUUGCCAUCUGAGGAUGAUGAUUUACUUCUAUCGAUUUCUUCUGGCCCCUUGACGCAGGAGGCGCUCGUGUCGUCCCAGGAUUUUCUUUCUACAGACCCUGAAAGCACAGCAAUAUUGGUGUCCUCUCAAGAUGUCCCAUCGUCAAACCCUGAAACUGGAGGCAUAUUGGUCUCAUCACAGGAACUACCGUCGUUGUCAAACGCUGAUAGUGCAGCAUAA